UUUAAGAAGUUACUUUCUACAUCAAGGUUAUAAACACAUUAAUCUGUAUUGUCUUCCAUUACAUGUAUUUAAAUACUAGGUCUUUACCUCAUGUGAUGAAGCUGUGAUAAUGUCAAGAUGAAUAUAUUUUUGUUAAAAGGGAAGAAUCAUUAAGAUCUUUAAGAAGAACAGAAAGCUGGGUAACGAAAAAUAGGAAAUCAGCCAGUAACAUUUAAAGGAAAGCACAUGUGUGCCCUGGAUGUGUGGCACUUGCCCCUGGAGGAAAUGAUUCAGGAGUUAAAUGCGAGAGGACAUGAUGCUCAGAAGAAGAUUCUGCUGCUUUCUGAAGUUUAGAGCCUCGAGUCCUGAAUUUCUUGCAGCUCCAUUUUCUGGAGAACCGUUGGCCGCGGCCUCUCCUGUCCAGCGGUAGAUCUCCCCUUGUCCACGCAGCCUGCUCAUCGGGCACCGGCAACGCAGCUGUCAGCGAUUCCACCCCAGGCUGAAGAACUUGCAGGCUGGGCUUCACAGAGUUUCCACUAAAUCAAAUGUUCAUUGGCGACUUUCGAGACCAAAGUAGCAACAAAAAUGAUGAAAGUUAAGGGUGAUGGUCCACACAAAAGCGAUGAAAAAUUGUGGGCACCAAAAUUCAGAAAAGGAUUGUUUAUGCCACACAAAUGCAUAUGUCUGGUACAACACACAAUGCAUUGAAUUGCGAAGUC